CUAAGACCCUCCUCCCCACAGGAGCACUGAGUUUGGGACAUUUUUUCCUGUGGGAAUGAGAAGACCUGUGGGCGAUUUUACAAACACUGCCAAGACAGUGUGCAUCUUCAAUGUCAAAAGGCUUCCUUAUGUACAAGUAGUUCUGAGGGGCACUUAUAUUUGUACAUACUGUGUAUAUUCCACCACCUUCUGGAAUUCCUCUGUCUCUUCCCUCUUCCUUCUCCUCACCUUCUUCUAACUUAUUAAUGAUAAAUCUUCAGAAUUCUUGAUACUGCAUGCUAAAGAUACUCAUCAAAAUAAGAUAUGAAAAGGUUCCAGGCUGGGUAUCAUCCCUGGUUCUCCCAAUUGUUAUAGUUACAGUGGCCUCUGGUAACACAUUCCCUAUCAUAUUAACAUAUCCAUUUGUAUGCAGGGUUUUUGUUUUUCAGAUUUUGUUUUUACCUUGCAGUGCAUAACUGCACCUUACCUCUUUGUCAACUUGAAUGCCAGUUUAUUUUGCAGCUUUUCUUUGAAAAUAAUAAUAAUCAUUAUUAUUCAGCAGUUAUCAGUUAUUCUGGGUUUAUUACACCCUUUAAAUACAGCAUCACAAUUAAUCAUUAAAAAAAGUCUUUGGUAUAAGUAUUAUUAUCUUCAUUUAAAGAUGAGGAAACUGAGGCUCCUCAAAGCUUAGUCAAUUGCUCUAAGUCACAGAGUUAGCAAGUGACUGCCUGGAUUCACAGGCAGGUGCCUGACUUUGAAACGUGUGGUCCUUCCAUGAUACCAGGCUACGUUUCUCUCAGAGUGUCUAGAAAGACUUUUAAGAUAGUAACAAGGUUUGGUUGUAAUUAGCCUGGAGCGAAAUGACCAUUAAAGCCCCUUUCAGAGCUAUAAGUUGAUGCUGUAAGUAAAACAAAGAUUGGAGAUAUUGGCAGCCAUGAUACUGACAGUGAAAUAUUGAGUAGUGUAUGAAGACGUAGCCAAGAAGGCCAGACAGACUCGGAUUCUCCCCUUAUUUCCACAGGUAACAAAACGUGAGACUUUGAGCAAAUGGCUAACCAGUUUGCCCUCCUAUUCCUCCUCUGUAAAAUGAUUAGUGCACUUUUAAUAGACUUAUUGAUUCCACGAUUACUUUAAAGGGGAAGUAGAAACUUUUCAUUAAGCUGUGACAUGGAGAAGUUAACUAAAGUCUGUAUAACAUUUUACAUUUUUCAAAGUCACUUGAAGCUGCAUAGCAUCUCUUAACAACCCGGAAUCUGUCCUAGAGGAGUGGCAGCAGCAGAUGGAGCAGAUCCCAGCUUUAUGCCACAUUCCCAGAAUGGCCACACUUCCAGAAUCAGUCUCAUCACCCUUAGAGGUACCCACAUAAGCUGGACAAUGGAUAUUCAAAGGUCUGCGUCUUCACUCAUCAGAGCCACUGCUCCAAGCAUCUCAGUUCUAGUAACUUCAAAUUAUUUUCUG
rnacentral:lncRNA from 1 species